UUUAAUUUUUAUUUAUUAUUUUAUUUAAUUGAUUUAAAUAUUUAAUUAUUAAAAAUAAUUAUAAAAUUUAGAGUUUUAUUAUUUUAUAAAGAAAAAAUAAAAUUAAUAAUAGUUUAUUAGUAUUGUAAAAGAAUAUUGAAAUAAUUUGAAAAAUUUAUAUAUAAAAAGAAAAUUUAAUUUAUUGUACCUUGUGUGUCAGGGUUUAUUUAUUAAAAAAUAAUAAUUUUUAUUUUUCUCGAUUUUAAAAGAUUUAAUAAAUUAUUAUAGUUAUUGUGACAAAAUUAUUAUAAAUAAUUUAUUAGAAAUGAAAUGUUAUUCGUUUUUAAAGGUAUCUAGUUUUUUAAGAAAUAAAUUUAAUUUAGUUUUUAUAAAUUUAUAAUUUUAAUUAAUUUUAAAAUUGUAAUUUUAUAAAAAUAAUAUUUUAUGGGAUAAGCUAUAAAAUAAAAUAUUAAAAAUAAUAGAUAUAAUUUUAUUUAAUAAUAUAAUAAUAUAUAUGCUUAGAAUUAGUAAUUAUUAAUAAAUUUGUUAUAAUUUAUUUUUUAUUGAUUAUUAUUUAUUAAAUUUUAAUUAUUUAUUAAAAUAUUUAUUUUAAUUUUAAAAGUAAAUUAAUAAUGAUAAAAUUAGUAUAUUUUAAUAUUUAUGUAUAAAAAUAAAUAAUAAUGAAAAGUUUUUAUAAAGAAUUCGGCAAAAUAAAAUAUUCGCUUGUUUAACAAAAACAUGUCCUUUAGUAUUUAAUUUAAGGUCUAACCUGCCCACUGAUUUUUAUUUAAUGGCCGCAGUAUUUUAACUGUGCAAAGGUAGCAUAAUCAUUAGUCUUUUAAUUGAAGGCUUGUAUGAAUGGUUGGACGAGAUAUUAACUGUUUCAUAAAAAUUUAAAAUAGAAUUUUAUUUUUUAGUUAAAAAGCUAAAAUUUAUUUAAAAGACGAGAAGACCCUAUAGAGCUUAAUAAUUUUAUAAUUUUAAUUAUAAAGAUUAUUUAAAUUAUAAUUAUGUAAAAUUAUUUUAUUGGGGUGAUAUUAAAAUUUAAAAAACUUUUAUUAAAUUAAAACCAUUAAUUUAUGAAUAAUUGAUCCUUUAUUAAUGAUUAAAAAUUUAAGUUACCUUAGGGAUAACAGCGUAAUUUUUUUGGAGAGUUCAUAUCGAUAAAAAAGAUUGCGACCUCGAUGUUGAAUUAAGAUAUAAUUUUGGGUGCAGUAGUUCAAAUUUUAAGUCUGUUCGACUUUUAAAUUCUUACAUGAUUUGAGUUCAGACCGGCGUAAGCCAGGUUGGUUUCUAUCUUUAAAAUAUUAAAAUAUUUUAGUACGAAAGGGCCAAAUAUUUAAAAAAUAAUUUUUUAUUAAUAUGUAUAAAAUUAAUUAUA
rnacentral:rRNA from 1 species